GGGAAAAGGUGGAGCCCUUACAAGGAGGCCCCAGGAUGGCAUUGUGGGAGUUGUAGUCCAUCUCCUCCUAAGAGCCUGAACAAACGGCGGAUAAGCGGGCGGGCGGGGCUUUUGUGCCCAGCAAGAAUCAUAGACUAAGUGGCGAGAAGCGCCCACCAGGGAAGAGGCAGAAGCGCGAGAUCAUGUGUGAUGUGGAAUCCACGGAUAAGGAGGGCCGAUUGUGCUCUAAGAUGAUUGUUACAAGGCACACUCACCAACGCUUGAGGCAAUCGAGGUUAUACAGUCACCGUUGCAGAACUGAAAGCAGAUUCUUCACGACCUUCUAGGCACCAGGUGCUGAGACAGAGAACUCAACAAUGAACAAGAUACGCUCCCAGUCUUAGAUGGUGGUUCUUAAACUUUAUUGUGCAUCAGGAUCACCUGGAAGGCUUGUUAAAACACAGACUGCUGGGCCCACCCCCCAGAGUUUCUGAUUCAGUUAAGUCUAGGAUCAGGCUUGAGAAUUUGCAUUUCUGACAAGUUCCCAGGUGAUGCUGAUGUUGCUGGUUCGGGGACCACACGUCUCCUGAAGUUGUUUUAACACUAUUGUGGAAGGACUUUAUUCCUGCUAUAAGGAUUCCAAGAACUGAUGGGAGAAGUAUAUUUUCUGGACAGCAUGCUUGGCCAAGUCUCUAAAGCACACUUAUGCUGCCCGCCCUGGGCCACAAACAGCACAUCAUCUUCCUGGCGUCUCAAGAAAUGUCACUGCACCCUCUUUCCCCUUCUAACUUGUGGUUGUGUAUCUUUCAAUUUAUUCCAUUAAAACUUUAGCUCCUCUAUACAUCCUAUUUGGUGUACACCCUAUACAAAAUGUCAACAGCAGGUUUUCUCUGAUAUUGGAAUUAUGGUUAAUUUUUAAAUCUUUU